rnacentral:rRNA from 1 species
CCUACGGGCGGCAGUAGUGAGGAAUAUUGGUCAAUGGCCGGAAGGCUGAACCAGCCAUGCCGCGUGAAGGUCAGUGCCCUAUGGGCGUUAAACUUCUUUUGUGCGGGAGCAAUAAUGGUCACGUGUGGCCAGACGAGAGUACCGUACGAAUAAGCAUCGGCUAACUCCGUGCCAGCAGCCGCGGUAAUACGGGGGAUGCAAGCGUUAUCCGGAUUUAUUGGGGUUAAAGGGUGCGUAGGGUGGGAGGUAAGUCAGCGGUGAAAUGCCCCCGCUCAACGGGGUGAAGUGCCAUUGAUACUGCCUUGCUGGAGUGCGGAAGACGUGGGAGGAAUGUGUGGUGUAGCGGUGAAAUGCAUAGAUAUCACACAGAACACCGAUUGCGAAGGCAUCUCACGAAUCCGCGAUUGACGCUGAUGCACGAAAGCGUGGGUAUCAAACAGGAUUAGAUACCCCUGUAGUC